rnacentral:rRNA from 1 species
CGGCGGACGGGUGAGUAACGCGUGGGUAACCUGCCUUAUACAGGGGGAUAACAGUUAGAAAUGACUGCUAAUACCGCAUAAGCGCACAGUACCGCAUGGUACGGUGUGAAAAACUCCGGUGGUAUAAGAUGGACCCGCGUCUGAUUAGCCAGUUGGCGGGGUAACGGCCCACCAAAGCGACGAUCAGUAGCCGACCUGAGAGGGUGACCGGCCACAUUGGGACUGAGACACGGCCCAAACUCCUACGGGAGGCAGCAG